UACGUAGGGUGCAAGCGUUAAUCGGAAUACUGGGCGUAAAGCGUGCGCAGGCGGUGAUGUAAGACAGUUGUGAAAUCCCCGGGCUCAACCUGGGAACUGCAUCUGUGACUGCAUCGCUGGAGUACGGUAGAGGGGGAUGGAAUUCCGCGUGUAGCAGUGAAAUGCGUAGAUAUGCGGAGGAACACCGAUGGCGAAGGCAAUCCCCUGGACCUGUACUGACGCUCAUGCACGAAAGCGUGGGGAGCAAACAGG
rnacentral:rRNA from 1 species